rnacentral:rRNA from 1 species
AGUGAACGCUGGCGGUAGGCCUAACACAUGCAAGUCGAACGGCAGCACAGUAAGAGCUUGCUCUUACGGGUGGCGAGUGGCGGACGGGUGAGGAAUACAUCGGAAUCUACUUUUUCGUGGGGGAUAACGUAGGGAAACUUACGCUAAUACCGCAUACGACCUACGGGUGAAAGCAGGGGAUCUUCGGACCUUGCGCGAUUGAAUGAGCCGAUGUCGGAUUAGCUAGUUGGCGGGGUAAAGGCCCACCAAGGCGACGAUCCGUAGCUGGUCUGAGAGGAUGAACAGGCACACUGGAACUGAGACACGGGCCAGACUCCUAAGGGAAGGAGCAGUGGGGAAAAUUUGACAAAGGGCGGAAAGCUUGACCAAGCAAUACGGGGUGGGUGAAGAAGGCUUUCGGGUGGUAAAGCCCUUUUGUGGGGAAAGAAAAGCAGCAGGUUAAUCCCCGGUUGUCCGGAGGGAACCAAAGGAUUAAGAACCGGCUACUUUCGU